rnacentral:rRNA from 1 species
UACGUAGGGCGCAGCGUUGUCCGGAAUUAUUGGGCGUAAAGAGCUCGUAGGCGGUUGUGCGUCUGCGUGAAGACCCGGGGCUCAACCCCGGGUCUGCAGUGGGUACGGGCAGACUAGAGUGCAGUAGGGGAGACUGGAAUUCCUGGUGUAGCGGUGAAAUGCGCAGAUAUCAGGAGGAACACCGAUGGCGAAGGCAGGUCUCUGGGCUGUUACUGACGCUGAGGAGCGAAAGCAUGGGGAGCGAACAGGAUUAGAUACCCGGUAGUC